rnacentral:rRNA from 1 species
CUGGUGGGUAGUUUGACUGGGGCGGUCUCCUCCUAAAGAGUAACGGAGGAGCACGAAGGUUGGCUAAUCCUGGUCGGACAUCAGGAGGUUAGUGCAAUGGCAUAAGCCAGCUUGACUGCGAGCGUGACGGCGCGAGCAGGUGCGAAAGCAGGUCAUAGUGAUCCGGUGGUUCUGAAUGGAAGGGCCAUCGCUCAACGGAUAAAAGGUACUCCGGGGAUAACAGGCUGAUACCGCCCAAGAGUUCAUAUCGACGGCGGUGUUUGGCACCUCGAUGUCGGCUCAUCACAUCCUGGGGCUGAAGUAGGUCCCAAGGGUAUGGCUGUUCGCCAUUUAAAGUGGUACGCGAGCUGGGUUUAGAACGUCGUGAGACAGUUCGGUCCCUAUCUGCCGUGGGCGCUGGAGAACUGAGGGGGGCUGCUCCUAGUACGAGAGGACCGGAGUGGACGCAUCACUGGUGUUCGGGUUGUCAUGCCAAUGGCACUGCCCGGUAGCUAAAUGCGGAAGAGAUAAGUGCUGAAAGCAUCUAAGCACGAAACUUGCCCCGAGAUGAGUUCUCCCUGACUCCUUGAGAGUCCUGAAGGAACGUUGAAGACGACGACGUUGAUAGGCCGGGUGUGUAAGCGCAGCGAUGCGUUGAGCUAACCGGUACUAAUGAACCGUGAGGCUUAACCUU